ensembl:misc_RNA 7SK 7SK RNA
GGACGUGAGGGCAAUCUGGCUGUGUCAUCUGUCACCCCAUUGAUCGCUAGUGUUGAUUCAGCGGAUCUGGCUGGCAGGUGUCCCCUUCCUCCCUCAGCACUCCAUGUGCAUCCCUCCUGAAGCUACGCACUCAUUCAAAGAGGAAGUCCUUCUACAAUAGAGGAGGACUGUUCUUCAGUCAAAGGUAUAUAACUAGCUAUGCUCCCAUGCUAGAACCUCCAAUCAAGUUCUCAAGGUCCAUUUUUUAGGAGAACAUAGAAAGCUUCCAAGACUCCAGACACAUCUAAAGGAGGUACAGCAUGUGGCACUCUGCUUUUCUUU